UACAGAGGGGGCUAGCGUUGUUCGGAAUUACUGGGCGUAAAGGGCGCGUAGGUGGCCUGUUAAGUCGAACGUGAAAUCCCCGGGCUCAACCCGGGAACUGCGUCCGAGACUGGCAGGCUCGAAUCCGGGAGAGGGAUGUGGAAUUCCAGGUGUAGCGGUGAAAUGCGUAGAUAUCUGGAGGAACACCGGUGGCGAAGGCGGCAUCCUGGACCGGUAUUGACGCUGAGGCGCGAAAAGCCAGGGGAGCCAAAGCGGGG
rnacentral:rRNA from 1 species